GCUGGAGUAGCUCAACGGUAGAGCAUCCGCCUUGUAAGCGGACGGUUGAGGGUUCGAUUCCUUUCUCCAGCA
rnacentral:tRNA from 3 species